AAACUGUUAAUCAGCCUGCUCUGCAGUCUGCUGCAGAGUUUGCUUUAUUAAAGCUCCCUGCUGCCUGCACACGUUCACUGGCACAGACAUCGAGAGACAAGCAAACACUUUCCCGAGUGCAGAAUACUCUGCUGCAUUGCAGAGUUUACUGGCAGAAAGUGAUGGGGUUCACAGGUAGAAAGCUGAUGGAUCUCUACACAUUUGCAGAGCAGUUAGCCCAAAUCCUGGAGAUCCUCCCAUUCACAUACCCCAGUCUAUUUUAUGUCAUCCUAUCUGGAAUGCCUGGAAGAUAACCAUCCCCUUCAGUCGGUCACGCGUGAGGGCAGCAGGGCUGCAGUGACACAGAAGAACCACACUUCAUUUCUCUGACUGGCCCUGGCUGGUGUUGUGGGAUGAUGGGGCGUCCUUGUGCUUGCCAGUCUGCCUAUUCCCAGCCAGCACCCAUCGGGCACAGCUGGGCCAUGGAUCCCGGGCACCGAUCCCUGGCAGCUCUUGCACCGCCUCCUGCCCAUCACCCGGGGAAGCUGCUGGUGCAGCAGGCCGGGAACAGCCAGGCUGACAGACACGGUGUGGCACCUGGCCUCGGCACCCUGCAGCUCCCAGCUCUUUCCACAGGCAUUGCAGGUUUGGCUGCGAGCCUGGAGCUGUGGUGCACACUCUGUGUGGGAGCGUGGGAGUGACUCAGGAGCAGCAGUUCUGGAGUGGGUGAUGCAGCGCUGGUGUGGAGUGAUGCUAUGGGGGCUGUGGUUUGGUUCCAGAGAGGGAGGGAGGGCAGGAAAGGGAGGGAGCACUAAGGUAACCACAGAAACAUGGUAUUCUUGGAUAUUAGCAAUCCUGACCUACUUCUGGCUACUCACUCACUGCUGGUGACAAAAGAGGAGUAAGAUGGAGGGCUUAAAGCUCUGAGAGAAAAAGAAGGAAUCUUUCCAUAAUUUUCCAGGAUCAAGACUAUUCAUUAUAAUAUUCAGCUAAUUAAAAUCUUUAAGUUUUAUCACCUUACACAUCAUACUGUUUUCAUUCCUGCUUUAUAUACUAUAGAAAGUAUUUUCAUAAUACAUUACUGAUAUAUAAUUGACAGAGAUGUAUUGUUAUGUAUAUGAUGUAGAUCAGACUGACUGACGGGGGUGUCAUUAUGCAUGUAUAACCUAGUUGUUGCCAGUGGUGUUAAUCUGACUCUGCAUUUCAUUUAGAUCAGUGAGAAACCCUUUUCCACAGUUGCAGGUCUGCUGGUGAUCCAGAUACAGCUCUCCACUUACAUCAGUAAAAUCACACUGUUGUAAUUGCAGGAAAACACAGGCCCUGGACUUCAGUGAGAUAUGGAGAAUUUAUACUAGAUGGAAUUCUACUUCUGGCAUUACUGUUAAUGCUGCUGCCUGUCCUUCAGAAAACGUGGGGCAUCGCCCUCUGUUCAACUGCUCAGUCUUGCCAUGUCGUGCUCUUUUCUUUCCACCCUAAGAAACUAAAGCACAAAGCUUGACUGCAUGACUGCUUGCUGCAGGGAAGGAAGACUACUCAUGGCAUGGGAAUGGGACCAGGAGUGGCAAAAUUUAGAAGGGAAUUGAAGCAGUGACAAAGACACAGGCCCAGGCUCCUGGUCCUUUCCCAUCCCAUGUGUACACCCCGGCCCUGAGCUACCAGGGCAGGAGCAGCCUGCAGCAUGUCCUGCCCUGCCAGGGCUUCUCUCUCACACACAUGCCAGUCUCUUGAGCAUUUGGCCACCUCCCCAGCACUGAGGGAGCUGAUGCUGCUGUACCUUACAGGGUAAAGAAACCAACAGACAGAGAUCCAAUGAGACAGAUAUUCUCAGAUUAAGUCCUCAUCUAGUCCUGUUUUUUACUGUGGUUUAUUAGUUUUGUAUUGAAUUCUUGUUCUGUAAGGAAGAGUCUUUCCUGGAAGUUAAGUAAAUGAACAAAGGUCAAACUGGACUCCCUUUGGCUACUGCUAUUGCUAAUGCAAUGCAGGAAGACUCACAGCACUCACUUCCUCACAGCAGUACCCUUGGACUAUGUUUCAUACCAACCCAGAUCUGAGGCUCAUGUAACCAGGCCUAAAUAAUCUUCUCUCCAGAUAAGGAAACAAGUGAAAAACAGACAAUCUGUAUAAUGAUAAAUUCAAUAUGAAAAUAUAAUAUACUAUAAAAGCACAUCUAUAAAUGUUUCCUCUUUUUAUUCUUCCCCCCGUCUUUUAUACCAAGCUGUGUUGAAAUUGGUCUUCUUUUAAAUAUUUUUAGAAAUAUUGAAAUAACUGAUGCAUUGCAAUACCAAUAGAGGCCUCACCAUGAUGCCCUUAGGCAUUGCUUUGCUAUUUCAGGCUCUGAAACAGUGCAGUUUGAUAGAGUGAGAAGAUCAGAAAGCUUUGUCUUUGUCCUGACUUGAUGUCUGAGUCCUCUAGGAUCUGUUUAAAUGCCCUGGCACUUUUGCUUAGUUCUUUUGAGCAUUAUUCCAGUGCUAUAAGAGAAGCAGAGACCAUGAGCUGGGACCAUGCUUCAUCUCCAGAGGCAAAGAACCUUUAGGGUAAUCAUUUCAUUGCCUAGGGAUUUGGGGGAAGCUGAAGGCAUCAUUGUGCCUUAGGAUUUCAAGCUGUAUCAGGAACCAGAAAAGCUACUGGCAUACAUCAGAGUAGCUUCCACAGCCUAAAUCAGCCCACAGCCUCCAGAGCAGCACAUGCUACAUAAUAUUUUCUGCUCUUAGUGCUUUGUCUUUUAUCCCUGCCAUCUUUUCUAGACCUCAUAAGGAAUCAGGAUUGCAAGCACAGCAGGGAUUGUUCUUGUCUCUUAGUUACUCAGCUCUGGCCCACAUAUGCCUUUAGAAAUGUACACCACAACUAGACUGAGGGCAGAUUCUGUCCCUGUUCAGCUGGAUUUCCAAUUAUUUUCAAAUCAAUAAUACAAACUCACUAUAAAAAAAAUCUAGAGGAAUUUCAUGUAAUAUGAAUAAUUAUUUACAGCAAUAAUUGAGCAAUUGUUAUGCUGUGCAAGUGGCUGCACAUCUGUUCCUAUCUUUAGGUAUUCAAACCAACUUUAGAAAUAAAAAUAUAUAACAAAUAGGUAAUGAAUAUCAUAAAAAUUCACAAGCAUAGUCAUUCAGAUUUUAAAUUAAUUCCCAAAAAUUCUGUUCAUUCCCACCAUCAAUGAAUAUUCAAGAAAAGGGUUCAUGGACAAAAAUGUUCACAAAAAUAGCUUGCUUUAAUUAAGUGAUGCAGCAUAUUCACAGAAGUGAAUUUCCUAUUUGUAGCUGUCAAACCCACAUCAGAAACAUUUCUUUAAUAAUUUUAUUUAGUCUAGCAGGAUAGAAAGACCAUCCACUGGACCUCUGUGUCCCACCAAAGUGCUUGAGCUUUCUACAUGGAAGAACAAGGUUCCUGUCUAAUCAUUUUCUCUUUGAAAUUCUGCUUGAUGCUGUUGCAUAUCCACAAGAACCUAAGGUUUUUCUAUAAUCUCAUCCUCUGUGCUCUUGCCCAAUGUUUGUCAUCAAAGCCACCUUGUUGAGUAAAAUGAUUUAAGCAGCUGCAACAAUUGCCCAAAGCAGUGGCUAAGGGCAAAACAUUACUAAGUAUUUGAUUUCUGUGAGCAAGUGUAUACACUAUACACAGAAAAACUCAAAUUAAUGGUUACCUAUGGCAGAAAGCCAGGACCAUGCAGAAGCUGUUUGUGCAAGAAACUAAGAAAACUGAUUUUUUAUUAAAAUGUGCUGUGAUGGUGCAUUUUGUGGAUAUCUUUUGUAACCAAAGAGGGAUCUGUAAAACUCAGUUUCCACGGACAACACACAACCAAAAGGCAUGAUAGUUCUUGUCAGAAAACACAGGUAGGUGUUAAAAAUCUGAUAUUAGGUGAUACAUUAAAAAAAAAAAAAAAAAGAAGAUGACAAAAGAUGACAGAGGAGUUAAGACAUGAGAGCCUGGAGUGGGAGGUCAGUAGCCAUGGCUAUGGAGUCUGUCUGGAGGGGCUGUCUGCCCUGCGGGCUGAGCUAUUGCCUGGGCUGAAACAGCAAAUGGAGGAAGAAGGAAAAGCAUUUUCUGAUCUAGCUAAUAAAGCUUGCCAAGUCUGGACCUGCCCAGGGUGACAGAAUGGUGUGGCAUGCUGGCACAGUGCAGGGCACCAGAACCACAACAGCCACUACACAUAUGCCCAAUACGUGCUUGAGGAAAGUGUAAUAAAAACAUUUGAUUAUUAGUAAUAAAUUAUUCUCUAUAUAAUCACAUAUUUCUGGGUCAGUCUUAAGGAAAAUGCUACUGAACCUGUGUCAGAUUAACGUAUGGACACUUAAAAUUUAUUUAAAUUCUUAGCUUUUCUUCUUCUCCAAAACCAUCUUCCAGAGAUUACUUACAAAGAUGGAGCAGGAGGCAAGAAAAAAAUGUAGCUGAAUAGUUAUGAUAACAGGCUGCCUGAAUGAGCUGGAGACAAUAUAAGUUAAAAUGGAUUUUAAUACUGGUAAUAUUGCUCUACCUCAAGAAACCUCUGAGGCAGACAAGUUACUCAUAUCCAGAUGCUGAAACAUGCCAAGAUUAACUCUGUGUCUCAUGUAUAUAAAAAAUUGCAGAUUUGUGGGAUGAAUUACUUUAUUUUUUGGCUGAAGAGGAAUAACUUGUGAGCAUGAACAACUGCUCAGAAAUUCAGAAGAAAAGCAUCAUGUGAGUCUAAUCUCAAAAACGGCACUGGGUGUUGCAAGCCAUUAGUUCAGAGACAUAAAACAGCUAAACACAGAAAACAAACUGAGGCAAACUCAAACCUUUUCUGUCCAGCAAGAAAAGGUAUUUAUGGCUGAAAAUGUCUUUAGAAAGUCUGCUCAGGAGGGAGCUGCUCUAGGACUUCUGUCUGUAGGGUAAGGGGAAGAGUCCUAAAGGUUCAUCUGCCAUAACAAGCUUGGUAGUAAUUUAUCAUUGCUUCCCCAAAGGAUAACACUGAAUGUAACAAUUAACCCGACUCUAAGCAGCAUUUCUCUCCUAAUAAAUGAAAGGGGUGGAGAA